rnacentral:rRNA from 1 species
AGCCUACAAAUAGCCCAACCACCACCCCAAACAAACAAAUUCACCAAACAAACCAUUUGCCAAGAGUAGUAUAGGCGAUAGAAC